AGCCAUGCAGUAAGCACAAAGCGAACUAUUCUUUCGCCUUUUACUAAAGAGUACCGUGUGCUUGCUGCUUAUAAUGGCAUACGCUUAUUUUUGGAAGGGUUUUUCCUUUAUUGGAGAAC